rnacentral:rRNA from 1 species
CAACCUGCCGACAACACUGGGAUAGCCUUUCGAAAGAAAGAUUAAUACCGGAUGGCAUAGUUUUCCCGCAUGGGAUAAUUAUUAAAGAAUUUCGGUUGUCGAUGGGGAUGCGUUCCAUUAGGCAGUUGGCGGGGUAACGGCCCACCAAACCAACGAUGGAUAGGGGUUCUGAGAGGAAGGUCCCCCACAUUGGAACUGAGACACGGUCCAAACUCCUACGGGAGGCAGCAGUGAGGAAUAUUGGUCAAUGGACGAGAGUCUGAACCAGCCAAGUAGCGUGAAGGAUGACUGCCCUAUGGGUUGUAAACUUCUUUUAUACGGGAAUAAAGUUAGCCACGUGUGGCUUUUUGUAUGUACCGUAUGAAUAAGGAUCGGCUAACUCCGUGCCAGCAGCCGCGGUAAUACGGGGGAUCCGAGCGUUAUCCGGAUUUAUUGGGUUUAAAGGGAGCGUAGGCGGGUUGUUAAGUCAGUUGUGAAAGUUUGCGGCUCAACCGUAAAAUUGCAGUUGAUACUGGCGACCUUGAGUGCAACAGAGGUAGGCGGAAUUCGUGGUGUAGCGGUGAAAUGCUUAGAUAUCACGAAGAACUCCGAUUG